rnacentral:rRNA from 1 species
GACGGAGGAUGCAAGUGUUAUCCGGAAUCACUGGGCGUAAAGCGUCUGUAGGUUGUUUAAAAAGUCUGCAGUUAAAGGUUGAAGCUUAACUUCAAAAAUGCCGUAGAAACUUUUAAACUAGAGGAUGGUAGGGGCAGAGGGAAUUUCCGGUGGAGCGGUGAAAUGCGUAGAGAUCGGAAAGAAUCACCAACGGCGAAAGCACUCUGCUGGGCCGACACUGACACUGAGAGACGAAAGCUAGGGGAGCGAAUGGG